rnacentral:rRNA from 1 species
GACGAACGCUGGCGGCGUGCCUAAUACAUGCAAGUAGAACGCUGAAGCUUGGUGCUUGCACCGAGCGGAUGAGUUGCGAACGGGUGAGUAACGCGUAGGUAACCUGCCUGGUAGCGGGGGAUAACUAUUGGAAACGAUAGCUAAUACCGCAUAAUAGUAGAUGUUGCAUGACAUUUGCUUAAAAGGUGCAAUUGCAUCACUACCAGAUGGACCUGCGUUGUAUUAGCUAGUUGGUGAGGUAACGGCUCACCAAGGCGACGAUACAUAGCCGACCUGAGAGGGUGAUCGGCCACACUGGGACUGAGACACGGCCCAGACUCCUACGGGAGGCAGCAGUAGGGAAUCUUCGGCAAUGGACGGAAGUCUGACCGAGCAACGCCGCGUGAGUGAAGAAGGUUUUCGGAUCGUAAAGCUCUGUUGUAAGAGAAGAAACGAGUGUGAGAGUGGAAAGUUC